rnacentral:tRNA from 1 species
UUAUUUGAUAAAUAAAUAUCUAAAUUUUAAGUAUGUCAUUUACAAUGAUAAGAUGUUUUAAACUU